GAGAAGCUCAGACAUUGAUGAAGUCUGGAAGAAGCUCAGAGUGAAGUCGAUCGUGACAGGAGGAAGUCUGGAAGAGAUUCGGAGAGUAGUCGAUCACUGUAGAAAAUCGACUGAUGGUGAAGCCCAGAGAGUAUUUGAAGCAGUCCGAUAGAUGAAUGAAGGAGCUCAUUAUUGGAGAAGUCUGGAGGGUACGAUAGGAGUUCAUCCAUUGGAGGAAUCUGAAGGACACUGUAGAAGGAUGACUGCUGG
rnacentral:lncRNA from 1 species